GAGGGGGCGGCGUGCUAUACAUGCAGUUGAGCGCUGAAGGUUGGUACUUGUACCGACUGGAUGAGCAGCGAACGGGUGAGUAACGCGUGGGGAAUCUGCCUUUGAGCGGGGGACAACAUUUGGAAACGAAUGCUAAUACCGCAUAAAAACUUUAAACACAAGUUUUAAGUUUGAAAGAUGCAAUUGCAUCACUCAAAGAUGAUCCCGCGUUGUAUUAGCUAGUUGGUGAGGUAAAGGCUCACCAAGGCGAUGAUACAUAGCCGACCUGAGAGGGUGAUCGGCCACAUUGGGACUGAGACACGGCCCAAACUCCUACGGGAGGCAGCAGUAGGGAAUCUUCGGCAAUGGACGAAAGUCUGACCGAGCAACGCCGCGAGAGUGAAGAAGGUUUUCGGAUCGUAAAACUCUGUUGGUACAGAACAACGUUGGUGAGAGUGGAAAGCUCAUCAAGUGACGGUAACUACCCAGAAAGGGACGGCUAACUACUGCCCAAAACCCUAAAAA
rnacentral:rRNA from 1 species